rnacentral:rRNA from 1 species
CCUACGGGGGGCAGCAGUGGGGAAUAUUGGACAAUGGGGGAAACCCUGAUCCAGCCAUGCCGCGUGUGUGAAGAAGGCCCUCGGGUUGUAAAGCACUUUCAGUGAGGAAGAACGCCUGGUGGUUAAUACCCAUCAGGAAAGACAUCACUCACAGAAGAAGCACCGGCUAACUCCGUGCCAGCAGCCGCGGUAAUACGGAGGGUGCGAGCGUUAAUCGGAAUUACUGGGCGUAAAGCGCGCGUAGGUGGCUUGAUAAGCCGGUUGUGAAAGCCCCGGGCUCAACCUGGGAACGGCAUCCGGAACUGUCAAGCUAGAGUGCAGGAGAGGAAGGUAGAAUUCCCGGUGUAGCGGUGAAAUGCGUAGAGAUCGGGAGGAAUACCAGUGGCGAAGGCGGCCUUCUGGACUGACACUGACACUGAGGUGCGAAAGCGUGGGUAGCAAACAGGAUUAGAUACCCCUGUAGUC